rnacentral:rRNA from 4 species
CCUACGGGAGGCAGCAGUGGGGAAUAUUGGACAAUGGGCGCAAGCCUGAUCCAGCAAUGCCGCGUGAGUGAUGAAGGCCUUAGGGUUGUAAAGCUCUUUCGGCGGGGACGAUGAUGACGGUACCCGCAGAAGAAGCCCCGGCUAACUUCGUGCCAGCAGCCGCGGUAAU